UCCGAGUUGACCCCGGCAGUCUCCUGCGAGUCCCCGCCAUUACGCGCUGGCAACACAGGACAAGGGUUGCGCUCGUUGCGGGACUUAACCCAACAUCUCACGACACGAGUUGACGACAGCCAUGCACCACCUGUGAUCCUGCCCCGAAGGGAAGCCCUGUUUCCAGGGAUGUCAGGAACAUGUCAAGCCCAGGUAAGGUUCUUCGCGUUGCGUCGAAUUAAACCACAUGCUCCGCUGCUUGUGCGGGCCCCCGUCAAUUCCUUUGAGUUUUAAUCUUGCGACCGUACUCCCCAGGCGGAAUGCUUAAAGCGUUAGCUGCGCCACUGAGCAGCAAGCUGCCCAACGGCUGGCAUUCAUCGUUUACGGCUUGGACUAC
rnacentral:misc_RNA from 1 species